rnacentral:sRNA from 1 species
AAAAAAAAAGGAAAAAAAAUAAAAUAAACAAACAAAACCG